rnacentral:tRNA from 1 species
ACUCUGAUGGUGAAAUGGUAGACACGCGAGACUCAAAAUCUCGUACUUAAGAGCGUGGAGGUUCGAGUCCUCUUCAAGGCA